GUCACGGUGGCGGAGAGGUUAAGGCGUUGGACCUCGAAAAUCCAAUGGGGUUUCCCGCACAGGUUUGAAUCCUGUUCGUGACG